ACCGGAACCCGCGAACUCGAAAUCCAUCGUGACCUCGAAACUAUGAUGAAUUGAGACAGCACAAAAGGACUAUGAUUGUGCAUGCACAGACACUGACGAGUAUCAGGAUUAUCAGGAGCCUUAUGAUGAUCCUGGUUUCAUAGAUGAGACUGUCUAAAGUCCCCUUUUUAUGAUAGACUUACUGAACAGUUUAUCUUCCAUGUCGUUAUUAGGUUUUAUUUUAUGUACUUUCUAGACAUCUUAUGCUUUAUUUUAUGGUUUGUAAUAUGACUACUAUUAUAUAGGACGUGAGCCGUGGUGGCCCUUAUGUUAUUGCUUUUGUGUGUAUUUAUUUGUAAGACCUUUUAUUAUUAUUUUAAUGUAAGUUGAGGUAUUUCAAUUAAA